rnacentral:rRNA from 1 species
AUUGAACGCUGGCGGCAGGCCUAACACAUGCAAGUCGAACGGGUGGCGGACGGGUGAGUAAUUUCUGGGAAUCUGCCUGAUGGAGGGGGAUCACUGCUGGACACGGUAGCUAAUACCGCAUACCAUCAGAUGUGCCCAUCUGGGCGUGGCUUGUUGUUGGGGUAACGGCUCACCAAGGCGACGAUCCCUAGCUGGUCUGAGAGGAUGACGAGCCACACUGGAACUGAGACACGGUCCAAACUCGUACGGGACUCACCACUGGGGCAUAUUGCACGAUGGACGCCAUCCUGCUGCAUCAAUCCCGCGUGUAGGUAGAAGGCUUUCGGGUCGCAAAGUACCUUCGGCGGGGAGGCGUGACCCGAAGAAGAAGCACCGGCUAACUCCUUACCCGCAGCCGCGGUAAUUC